AUUGAACGCUGGCGGAAUGCUUUACACAUGCAAGUCGAGCGGCAGCGCGGGGCAACCUGGCGGCGAGCGGCGAACGGGUGAGUAAUACAUCGGAACGUACCCAGUUGUGGGGGGAUAGCCCGGCGAAAGCCGGAUUAAUACCGCAUACGACCUGAGGGUGAAAGGGGGGGAUCGCAAGACCUCUCGCAGUUGGAGCGGCCGAUGGCGGAUUAGCUAGUUGGUAGGGUAAAGGCCUACCAAGGCGACGAUUCGUAGCUGGUCUGAGAGGACGACCAGCCACACUGGAACUGAGACACGGUCCAGACUCCUACGGGAGGCAGCAGUGGGGAAUUUUGGACAAUGGGGGCAACCCUGAUCCAGCCAUUCCGCGUGAGUGAAGAAGGCC
rnacentral:rRNA from 1 species